rnacentral:rRNA from 1 species
AACGAACGCUGGCGGCAGGCCUAACACAUGCAAGUCGAGCGCGCCUUCGGGUGAGCGGCGGACGGGUUAGUAACGCGUGGGAACGUGCCCUUCAGUUGAGGAUAGCCCCGGGAAACUGGGAGUAAUACUCGAUACGCCCUUUGGGGGAAUGAAGGAUCGGCCCGCGUUGGAUUAGGUAGUUGGUGGGGUAACGGCCUACCAAGCCGACGAUCCAUAGCUGGUUUGAGAGGAUGAUCAGCAACACUGGGACUGAGACACGGCCCAGACUCCUACGGGAGGCAGCAGUGGGGAAUCUUGGACAAUGGGGGAAACCCUGAUCCAGCCAUGCCGCGUGAGUGAUGAAGGCCUUAGGGUCGUAAAGCUCUUUCGCCAGGGAUGAUAAUGACAGUACCUGGUAAAGAAACCCCGGCUAACUCCGUGCCAGCCGCCGCGGUAAU